AUUGAACGCUGGCGGCAGGCCUAACACAUGCAAGUCGAGCGGAAGAAGGGAGCUUGCUCCUGGAUUCAGCGGCGGACGGGUGAGUAAUUCCUAGGAAUCUGCCUGUCAGUGGGGGAUAGCGUCCUGAAACGGGCGAUAAUACCGCAUACGUCCUGAGGGAGAAAGUGUGGGAGCUUCGGACCUUACGCUAUCAGAUGAGCCUAGGUCGGAUUAGCUAGUUGGCGGGGUAAAGGCCUACCAAGGCGACGAUCCGUAACUGGUCUGAGAGGAUGAUCAGUCACACUGGAACUGAGACACGGUCCAGACUCCUACGGGAGGCAGCAGUGGGGAAUAUUGGACAAUGGGCGAAAGCCUGAUCCAGCCAUGCCGCGUGUGUGAAGAAGGUCUUCGGAUUGUAAAGCACUUUAAGUUGGGAAGAAGGGCAGUAAGUUAAUACCUUGCUGUUUUGACGUUACCCAAAGAAUAAGCACCGGCUAACUUCGUG
rnacentral:rRNA from 1 species